rnacentral:rRNA from 1 species
UACAGAGGUCUCACGCGUUGUUCGGAUUCAUUGGGCGUAAAGGGUGCGUAGGUGGUGCUGUAAGUCAGGUGUGAAAUCCCGGGGCUCAACCCCGGAACUGCACUUGAUACUGUAGUGCUUGAGGACUGGAGAGGAGAUCGGAAUUCAUGGUGUAGCAGUGAAAUGCGUAGAUAUCAUGAGGAAGACCAGUGGCGAAGGCGGAUCUCUGGACAGUUCCUGACACUGAGGCACGAAGUCCAGGGGAGCAAACGGG